rnacentral:rRNA from 1 species
UACGUAGGUGGCAAGCGUUGUCCGGAUUUAUUGGGUUUAAAGGGUGCGAAGGCGGUGACCUAAGUCAGUUGUGAAAUACGAUAGCUUAACUAUCGAGGUGCAAUUGAUACUGGGUUACUUGAGUACUGAUGAGGUAGGCGGAAUGGACGGUGUAGCGGUGAAAUGCUUAGAUAUCGUCCAGAACACCGAUAGCGAAGGCAGCUUACUAAGGAGUAACUGACGCUGAGGCACGAAAGUGUGGGGAUCAAACAGG